UGGGGAAUAUUGCACAAUGGGCGAAAGCCUGAUGCAGCAACGCCGCGUGAGUGAUGAAGGUCUUCGGAUUGUAAAGCUCUGUCUUUUGGGACGAUAAUGACGGUACCAAAGGAGGAAGCCACGGCUAACUACGUGCCAGCAGCCGCGGUAAUACGUAGGUGGCGAGCGUUGUCCGGAUUUACUGGGCGUAAAGGGUGCGUAGGCGGAUGUUUAAGUGAGAUGUGAAAUACCCGGGCUUAACUUGGGUGCUGCAUUUCAAACUGGAUAUCUAGAGUGCAGGAGAGGAGAAUGGAAUUCCUAGUGUAGCGGUGAAAUGCGUAGAGAUUAGGAAGAACACCAGUGGCGAAGGCGAUUCUCUGGACUGUAACUGACGCUGAGGCACGAAAGCGUGGGUAGCAAACAGGAUUAGAUACCCUGGUAGUCCACGCCGUAAACGAUGAGUACUAGGUGUAGGAGGUAUCGACCCCUUCUGUGCCGCAGUAAACACAUUAAGUACUCCG
rnacentral:rRNA from 1 species